UACGUAGGGUGCAGGCGUUAAUCGGAAUUACUGGGCGUAAAGCGUGCGCAGGCGGUUUGCUAAGACAGGUGUGAAAUCCCCGGGCUUAACCUGGGAACUGCGCUUGUAACUGGCAGGCUUGAGUGCGGCAGAGGGGGGUGGAAUUCCACGUGUAGCGGUGAAAUGCGUAGAUAUGCGGAGGAACACCGAUGGCGAAGGCAAUCCCCUGGGCCUGCACUGACGCUCAUGCACGAAAGCCAGGGGAGCAAACGGG
rnacentral:rRNA from 1 species